CGAAGCUGGAAUCGCUAGUAAUCGCGGAUCAGCACGCCGCGGUGAAUACGUUCCCGGGCCUUGUACACACCGCCCGUCACACCAUGAGAGUCUGUAACACCCAAAGCCGGUGGGAUAACCUUCAUAGGAGUCAGCCGUCUAAGGUAGGACAGAUGAUUAGAGUGAAGUCGUAACAAGGUACC
rnacentral:rRNA from 1 species